rnacentral:tRNA from 1 species
GCCGCAGUAGCUCAGAGGUAGAGCACUCCCUUGGUAAGGGAGAGGUCGAGAGUUCGAUUCUCUCCUGCGGCA